rnacentral:lncRNA from 1 species
AUUUUAGAGCAAUUAAAAGUGAAGCAAUUCAUAUUCAUUGAUUUAGAGGGAACUAUUGUGUAACCUGGGCAAGUCAGUCCAUAUUACUUUAAGAACACUAAACAGUAUUGCCCUAGGUGAGAGAGAGAGAGAGAGAGAGAGAGAGAAAGAGAGAGGAGAGACAGAGAGAAACAGAGAGAGAGAGAGAAAAAUCUAACACAUUCUUUAACACCUGGUCAUUAAUGACCAUUAAUGACAGAACCUGCUUAAUCCCCAUAUAAUUAUCCAAUACAUUGAAUCCUAAUUGUUUUGUUCUUCACCUGAACUUGGCCCAAGUGCUAGUGUAGCCCUCUUUUAAGAAUGUCAAUAGAAUGUGAUUUUUUACAAGCCGCCAUAAGUAAAUAGUGGAAAGCCAGAGCUAUGUUCUGAAAAUGGAGCUUGUUUUUGGGGGCACAUCAGGACUCAAACUUUCCGAAACUCCUACUCCUGAGUUACCUGGAGAAAAGCUAUAGCAGAUGGGCAUCCAGUGCUUGGAAAGGCUGCCUGGACUUCAAUGCAAGAUGCGCAAUAAAGGAAUGUAGAAGAACGUUGGAAGAGAAGCAUUCUCACCUAUUGCUGAUCUUAACAGGUAAGCAUUCGUUUUUCAUCGUUCAGCAUGAUGUUAGAUAGUUUUGUAGAUGCCCUUUAUUAGGUUGAGAAAGUUUUCCACUAUUCCUAGUUUUCUGAAAGUUUUUAUCAGGAAUGGAUGUUAAAUUUAUUCAAAUGCUUUAUCUGCUUAAAUUGAUAUGAUCAUAUGAUCAUGUGAACUUCUUUGGACUGUUAUAAUGGUGGAUUACAUUGAUAGAUUUUUGAAUAUCCAGCCAGCCUUCUGUUUAGGAUACUUUGCACUUGGUUGUGAUGCAUUAAUCUUUUUAUGUAUUGUUUAAUUAAAUUUCCCAAUAUUUUGUUCAGAGAUUUUGCAUCUAUGUUUAUGAGGCAUAUUGAUCUAAUGGUUUGCUCUCGG